UUCCAGACUCCUACGGGAGGCAGCAGUGGGGGAUAUUGCACAAUGGGGGAAACCCUGAUGCAGCGACGCCGCGUGAGUGAAGAAGUAAUUCGUUACGUAAAGCUCUAUCAGCAGGGAAGAAAAUGACGGUACCUGACUAAGAAGCCCCGGCUAACUACGUGCCAGCAGCCGCGGUAAUACGUAGGGAGCAAGCGUUAUCCGGAUUUAUUGGGUGUAAAGGGUGCGUAGACGGGAAGGCAAGUUGGUUGUGAAAUCCCUCGGCUUAACUGAGGAACUGCAACCAAAACUAUCUUUCUUGAGUGCUGGAGAGGAAAGUGGAAUUCCUAGUGUAGCGGUGAAAUGCGUAGAUAUUAGGAGGAACACCAGUGGCGAAGGCGACUUUCUGGACAGUAACUGACGUUGAGGCACGAAAGUGUGGGGAGCAAACAGGAUUAGAUACCCGCGUAAU
rnacentral:rRNA from 1 species